CGAGAUAUUUCAUCCCUUCUGCAGCAGCAAUACUGUCGAAUAGAUGUUCAAAAGCACGUGGCAGAAUCCCUGUCUGGUUUGAGGGAGACGUUACUCCUUGCAUAGUAAAGCUUUUGCCACUUCCUGUUUGACCGAGGCAUGAUUUAUGACCGAGCUCUAACUUCGACGAGAGGAUAGCCGAAAUCUGUGUAAAUUUGUUCGGUGGUUGACGUCUGGUCGUAAACACCAUCAAAAGUGAAUGUCUUGGUCGUAUCAUUGUUAUCGUUGUGACUAGAUGGUACGGCGAGCAGGGAACAUUGCAGUGCCGAUGGAUUAAUUUGGACUACAUUCUGAUUUCCUCCAAAAACGAGGAAGAGUGACGUUAAAAUCAUUUUCAAUUUGAUCAUCUGUUACUCGAACGAUCAGCAAACCACUUAGAGUAAAAUGAGUAUGCAUGCAAACCAAAGUCACGCAACGAUACCGUGAUAAACACUCAAUUUCGACCAAAAGUGCCAUGUCUCAAUUAGCCCAGACCCUGGGGCUUGUUUACAGUUCACGUUCAAGUAUGAAUCACCUUGCUAUUGAGCUGGCUUUCGCGCACGUUCAUCGGCCGGCAGCGAACGAUCACUCGUACGCACUCCGAUCCUGUAGCCAUAGGUGUUAACCUUGUGUCACUCGAUUCCUGAAUGUGAAAGAGAAGCCGGAUCGAAUUACCUGAACGCUCGAUAUGUCGCCGUCAUGGCAACAAUUGAACAGAGCGGGACAAGACUCCCGAACACCAUUUAUAAUUCAUGCUAAGAUAACUACCAACUGGCCCACACAGCCCUCAUGCGGCGGCUGAAUUUAGAAAAUUGACUGAAAUACUAAUUCUAAAUUUGGUUCUCAUUCUCAGGUUAAACCCCAGCCACACCCAAAUUUCAAACACCAUUGACUACAAGAAUUGGGUGCAAUAGGUAUUCGGCGUACCUUAUUUUUAUUAAACAAACCUGUGGUUAAUGAAGAUUUGUCGGAUGACGAAGUCCUCCCGGGAUUUCCAACACCAUGGCUUAUAGAACGAAUGGAAAAAAAUAAUAGUAAUAAUCCCGUACAGUUCCGGCGCGUUGACCACUAAUCUGUACGAUGUUGAAAAAAUUCCGCCCGGACGAUUUCCUGGUAGGCCGCAGACUGGCGGGAGGUAUCACGUAUUUUACGUUCCUGUUUCUUUAAACGUAUACCGGGCACUGGAAAUGAGACGACAUCGUUGAAAUUAUACAUUCCAUCACAACAAACGGUGUCGCUAUGGAUACCAUUAGCUUUUUACUCACUCCUCUUUCUCCACCCUGCCGAUGACCGAUUUCAGACUGUAUGACCUAAAGGCAUUUUACCAGAUGGACCUCAAUAAGACUGAAUAACUCGUUCACUUACAAGAACAACCCAAGGACGCGUCUUGCUAAUAUCCUAACAACAGACUCACCAAGAUAAAGAUAGUUGCUCAGAUUUCGGGCGCCCCCGUGCAGCACACGCAACGCUGUGCGUGUUUUUAGUGGCCCAUCUGUUCGUUUCCGUCCAAUGGAAGCCGGAGUGUUGUGUGUUGAACUCCCCCUUCAAGACCCGACAAGAGUUUGACCGUGAAGGUGUCGGGUCGCUGCCGUCUGGGUACGCAUUCUUCCAUUUCACAUCGCACACAGUGGUCUGCAUCUUCGCCGACCAGCAAUAAACUGGCCCUGAAAUAACACGCACGGUUCACCUACCGCCUUCAAUUGCAUCCCAACUCAAAUUGAAUCGAUGCGAUAUCCAAUCCGUCUCGAUUGCAUUCGACACCUCGAGAAACGGCCACCCGCAGCUGAGAAUUUCAAUAGCGUAAUUUAGCUCAUUCAAAUAUUUCUACCCAGCUUUUGCCUUUAAAUUUAAAUAAUGGAAAAGAAAAGCACAUACCCGGUCG
rnacentral:lncRNA from 1 species